UACGGGGGGGCAAGCGUUGUUCGGAAUUACUGGGCGUAAAGGGCUCGUAGGCGGCCAACUAAGUCAGACGUGAAAUCCCUCGGCUUAACCGGGGAACUGCGUCUGAUACUGGACGGCUUGAGUAUGGGAGAGGGAUGUAGAAUUCCAGGUGUAGCGGUGAAAUGCGUAGAUAUCUGGAGAAUACCGGUGGCGAAGGCGGCAUCCUGGACCAUUACUGACGCUGAGGCGCGAAAGCUAAGGGGAGCAAACGGGG
rnacentral:rRNA from 1 species